CUUCACUCUGUGCGCGUGCGGCUGCUUCAUUUGAAAAAAAAAAAAAAUUUGUUUCAUCAGACUGAAGAGGGGUACUUUUAUAUUCCAUGCUGCUCACCCCGACCCCCAGAGGAUAACCUAAGGACCACAAACCAGGUUUGCAGAGCAGUAAACCUGGCCUCAGUCCACGUGUGGUUGUGAGAGGGUCAGCAGCAGUAAUCGGCAGUGCUGAUCCUUACAGUGGGCAGAGGU